UGGGGAAUAUUGCACAAUGGGGGAAACCCUGAUGCAGCAACGCCGCGUGAAGGAAGACGGUUUUCGGAUUGUAAACUUCUUUUCUUAGUGAAGAAGCAAGUGACGGUAGCUAAGGAAUAAGCCUCGGCUAACUACGUGCCAGCAGCCGCGGUAAUACGUAGGAUGCGAGCGUUAUCCGGAAUUACUGGGUGUAAAGGGAGCGCAGGCGGGACUGCAAGUGGGAUGUGAAAUACCGCAGCUUAACUGCGGAGCUGCAUCCAAAACUGUAGUUCUUGAGUGGAGUAGAGGCAAGCGGAAUUCCGAGUGUAGCGGUGAAAUGCGUAGAUAUUCGGAGGAACACCAGUGGCGAAGGCGGCUUGCUGGGCUCUAACUGACGCUGAGGCUCGAAAGUGUGGGGAGCAAACAGGA
rnacentral:rRNA from 1 species